GGAUUACCAAACCUUCUCAAACUCCGAAUACCCAGAAGUUAUGCGUGGCAGACACACGGCGGGUGCUAACGUCCGUCGUGAAAAGGGAAACAACCCAGACCGCCAAUUAAGGCCCCUAAGUAAUAGCUAAGUGCGAAACGAUGUGGAGGUGCUGAGACAAUCAGGAGGUUCGCUUAGAAGCAGCCAUCCUUUAAAGAAAGCGUAACAGCUCACUGAUCAAG
rnacentral:rRNA from 13 species